rnacentral:tRNA from 1 species
GGUCCUGACUAGCUCAACUAGAGCAUGGCAUUAACAUUGCCAGGGUUAGUGGUUCGAUUCCCACUGGGACCC